GGCGGUUUGGCCGAGUGGUCUAAGGCGAUUGACUCGAAUUAGUCGGUUAUCAAUUCCCUUCGGGGGCGUCGGUUCGAAUCCGACAGCCGUCG
rnacentral:tRNA from 2 species